rnacentral:lncRNA from 1 species
CUUUCACUGAGCUGGUUGUUAUCAAUGGAGUCAGGCAGUUUAGACUACAGGGAAAUUAUCCUUAAACUUCCAGGCCAGAAGCAACCACUUCUUGCUCUCAACUAAGAACUGAGAGGCAGGCUGGCACAAAUGGAUAUAGUCUAAGAAUUAACAACAAAGAGACUUGUAUUCAAAUCCUGU